rnacentral:lncRNA from 1 species
ACCGCACGCCGUAUGAGUAUUUGUUGGAGGUAUUUGAGGUUACCCUUCACGUCAUGCAAACAGGAAUGAAAUACUGAAUCUUCAUUUUUACCAUUUCGAAGAGACCAUGGAAAAUCUCAAGCAUAAUGGAAGAUCGUCAAAAAUAAACCUACAAGAUGGGUUUACAUAUUUUGAGGUUGGUUGUAUAUGAAUCCUACAUCAUCAUGCCUGAUACAUUCUACAGCUCUAAACAUGCCCAAAAACUUUUCUCUUAAGGCCAUUUAUGUGGGUGGGGCAAAUCAAAUGCCUUAAUUUUGAAAGGCGCGAGCAACGGCUGUGGUGGUGAUGGUAAGAUGUGUGUGGUCUCGUUGUGACCACCAAACCCCGCCGUUUUCAGUAGCAGCCAUGCCUUGGUCGGGUGAACAUCGCGGCUUUGCAGUGCGCACAUUUCUCGGAAAUGGCCGUUCUGUCGUCGCCACCAAGUGCGCCUGAUGGCAAAGCAAUCAGGAGUUGGGUUGAAGCAUUGGAAGAAACUGGUUCCUCAAGAAGACCUAGGGGUAGUCAUGGAGAAAGUGUUCAGAAGUCAGCCACACAAUUUGGAAGAAUUGAAGAUGUGAAUUUGGGAGGAUAUUGCUGCAAUACCCUUGAGAUGUGCCGAAGAGCAGCCGAAAACUUCAGAUAACGUCUUCAACAGUGCAUCGCUACAGAUGGCCACCAUAUCUUCCUGAUGCCAUUUUCAAAAAGUGAUCACUCAA